GACGAACGCUGGCGGCGUGCUUAACACAUGCAAGUCGAACGGUGAACCAGAGCUUGCUCUGGGGAUCAGUGGCGAACGGGUGAGUAACACGUGGGCAACCUGCCCCAGACUCUGGGAUAACCUCGGGAAACCGAUGCUAAUACCGGAUACGACCACUUCGGACAUCCGACGGUGGUGGAAAGUUUUUCGGUCUGGGAUGGGCCCGCGGCCUAUCAGCUAGUUGGUGGGGUAAUGGCCUACCAAGGCGACGACGGGUAGCCGGCCUGAGAGGGCGACCGGCCACACUGGAACUGAGACACGGUCCAGACUCCUACGGGAGGCAGCAGUGGGGAAUAUUGCACAAUGGGCGAAAGCCUGAUGCAGCGACGCCGCGUGAGGGACGACGGGCCUUCGGGUUGUAAACCUCUUUCAGCAGGACGAAGCGAAAGUGACUGUACCUGCAGAAGAAGCACCGGCUAACUACGUGCCAGCAGCCGCGGUAAU
rnacentral:rRNA from 1 species